UUCUUAUCAAGAGAGGCGGAGGGACUGGCCCUAUGAAACCCAACAACCGGCAUUUAUUUCAAUAUGUAUCGGUGUUAAUUCCUGCAGAGUUAAUUUAUACUCUGAAAGAUGAGAA
rnacentral:ncRNA from 2 species